UUAUUGAUAAAUUAAUACCUCUCUAAAUUAAUAAAAUUUCACAGUCCCAACAUUAUUAAUUUAUAGAGGUUUUACUGUAUUCAAAA
rnacentral:sRNA from 1 species